GAGUUUGAUCCUGGCUCAGGACGAACGCUGGCGGCGUGCCUAAUACAUGCAAGUCGAGCGAAUCAAUGGGAGCUUGCUCCCUGAGAUUAGCGGCGGACGGGUGAGUAACACGUGGGUAACCUGCCUGUAAGACUGGGAUAACUCCGGGAAACCGGGGCUAAUACCGGAUAAUAUCUAGAAUCGCAUGAUUCUAGAUUGAAAGAUGGUUUCGGCUAUCACUUACAGAUGGACCCGCGGCGCAUUAGCUAGUUGGUGAGGUAACGGCUCACCAAGGCAACGAUGCGUAGCCGACCUGAGAGGGUGAUCGGCCACACUGGGACUGAGACACGGCCCAGACUCCUACGGGAGGCAGCAGUAGGGAAUCUUCGGCAAUGGACGAAAGUCUGACCGAGCAACGCCGCGUGAGUGAAGAAGGUUUUCGGAUCGUAAAACUCUGUUGUUAAGGAAGAACAAGUACGAGAGUAACUGCUCGUACCUUGACGGUACUUAACCAGAAAGCCACGGCUAACUACGUGCCAGCAGCCGCGGUAAUACGUAGGUGGCAAGCGUUGUCCGGAAUUAUUGGGCGUAAAGCGCGCGCAGGCGGUUCCUUAAGUCUGAUGUGAAAGCCCACAGCUCAACCGUGGAGGGUCAUUGGAAACUGGGGAACUUGAGUGCAGAAGAGGAGAGUGGAAUUCCACGUGUAGCGGUGAAAUGCGUAGAGAUGUGGAGGAACACCAGUGGCGAAGGCGACUCUCUGGUCUGUAACUGACGCUGAGGCGCGAAAGCGUGGGGAGCGAACAGGAUUAGAUACCCUGGUAGUCCACGCCGUAAACGAUGAGUGCUAAGUGUUAGAGGGUUUCCGCCCUUUAGUGCUGCAGCAAACGCAUUAAGCACUCCGGCUGGGGAGUACGGUCGCAAGACUGAAACUCAAAGGAAUUGAC
rnacentral:rRNA from 1 species